CACCGGGGAGUUGCACGCAGACGAUGAUCCGGUGAUUUCCGAAUGGGGCAACCCGUCUCGAGUUUGUCGAGACACGGCGUCAUGAAUUCAUAGUGACGCGCGAGGGCAGCCGGGGAACUGAAACAUCUAAGUACCCUCAGGAAAAGAAAGAAACUCGAUUCCCAAAGUAGCGGCGAGCGAAAUGGGAAGAGCCUAAACCGUAUAGAGUUAUAGCCCGUGAGUGUUCUCUAUGCGGUGUCGUAGGAUUCUGUCGGAGGCAGUUACGGAUGCCUCGGGGAGUUACAAAGCUAUUUUAUAGAAGAAUAACCUGGAAAGGUUAACCAUAGAGGGUGAUAGUCCCGUAUACGAAAUUGAAUAGCCUCCCUGGAUGGAGUCCUGAGUACCACGGGACACGUGUAAUCUUGUGGGAAGCUAGGAAGACCAUUUCCUAAGGCUAAAUACUACUUGGCAACCGAUAGUGCACUAGUACCGUGAGGGAAAGUUGAAAAGUACCGCGGAAGCGAAGUGAAAAGUGCCUGAAACCAGGUG
rnacentral:rRNA from 1 species